GACGAACGCUGGCGGCGUGCUUAACACAUGCAAGUCGAACGGAAAGGCCCUGCUUUUGUGGGGUGCUCGAGUGGCGAACGGGUGAGUAACACGUGAGUAACCUGCCCUUGACUUUGGGAUAACUUCAGGAAACUGGGGCUAAUACCGGAUAGGAGCUCCUGCUGCAUGGUGGGGGUUGGAAAGUUUCGGCGGUUGGGGAUGGACUCGCGGCUUAUCAGCUUGUUGGUGGGGUAGUGGCUUACCAAGGCUUUGACGGGUAGCCGGCCUGAGAGGGUGACCGGCCACAGUGGGACUGGGAUACGGCCCAGACUCCUACGGGAGGCAGCAGUGGGGAAUAGUGCACAAUGGGCGGAAGCCUGAUGCAGCAACGCCGCGUGCGGGAUGACGGCCUUCGGGUUGUAAACCGCUUUCGCCUGUGACGAAGCGUGAGUGACGGUAAUGGGUAAAGAAGCACCGGCUAACUACGU
rnacentral:rRNA from 1 species